UCAGCUUGCUGGGUGGAUCAGUGGCGAACGGGUGAGUAACACGUGAGCAAUCUGCCCCUGACUCUGGGAUAAGCGCUGGAAACGGCGUCUAAUACUGGAUACGAACCGUGGAGGCAUCUUCAACGGUUGGAAAGAUUUUUUGGUCAGGGAUGAGCUCGCGGCCUAUCAGCUUGUUGGUGAGGUAAUGGCUCACCAAGGCGUCGACGGGUAGCCGGCCUGAGAGGGUGACCGGCCACACUGGGACUGAGACACGGCCCAGACUCCUACGGGAGGCAGCAGUGGGGAAUAUUGCACAAUGGGCGAAAGCCUGAUGCAGCAACGCCGCGUGAGGGAUGACGGCCUUCGGGUUGUAAACCUCUUUUAGCAGGGAAGAAGCGAAAGUGACGGUACCUGCAGAAAAAGCGCCGGCUAACUACGUGCCAGCAGCCGCGGUAAUACGUAGGGCGCAAGCGUUAUCCGGAAUUAUUGGGCGUAAAGAGCUCGUAGGCGGUUUGUCGCGUCUGCUGUGAAAUCCCGAGGCUCAACUUCGGGUCUGCAGUGGGUACGGGCAGACUAGAGUGCGGUAGGGGAGAUUGGAAUUCCUGGUGUAGCGGUGGAAUGCGCAGAUAUCAGGAGGAACACCGAUGGCGAAGGCAGAUCUCUGGGCCGUAACUGACGCUGAGGAGCGAAAGGGUGGGGAGCAAACAGGCUUAGAUACCCUGGUAGUCCACCCCGUAAACGUUGGGAACUAGUUGUGGGGUCCAUUCCACGGAUUCCGUGACGCAGCUAACGCAUUAAGUUCCCCGCCUGGGGAGUACGGCCGCAAGGCUAAAACUCAAAGGAAUUGACGGGGACCCGCACAAGCGGCGGAGCAUGCGGAUUAAUUCGAUGCAACGCGAAGAACCUUACCAAGGCUUGACAUAUACGAGAACGCUGCAGAAAUGUAGAACUCUUUGGACACUCGUAAACAGGUGGUGCAUGGUUGUCGUCAGCUCGUGUCGUGAGAUGUUGGGUUAAGUCCCGCAACGAGCGCAACCCUCGUUCUAUGUUGCCAGCACGUAAUGGUGGGAACUCAUGGGAUACUGCCGGGGUCAACUCGGAGGAAGGUGGGGAUGACGUCAAAUCAUCAUGCCCCUUAUGUCUUGGGCUUCACGCAUGCUACAAUGGCCGGUACAAAGGGCUGCAAUACCGUGAGGUGGAGCGAAUCCCAAAAAGCCGGUCCCAGUUCGGAUUGAGGUCUGCAACUCGACCUCAUGAAGUCGGAGUCGCUAGUAAUCGCAGAUCAGCAACGCUGCGGUGAAUACGUUCCCGGGUCUUGUACACACCGCCCGUCAAGUCAUGAAAGUCGGUAACACCUGAAGCCGGGGCCCAACCCU
rnacentral:rRNA from 1 species